GUAACUAGGUAAGGAAGGCUUCAGGGGACCUUCCCGACCCAGGGACAGAACCCGCAGGGACAGUUUCCUGCACUGGCAGGCGGAUUAUUCUUUACUGCUGAGCCAGCAGGGCAGCCCAUUGUAAAGAAGGCACGUGACUGAUGAGCAGGGUGACGAGGCUGCCGAGUGGGGCGGAGGGGCAGGCCUGGGAAACAGAGGACGAUGACACGGCAGAAGGCGACCUAGGGUAUGGCCUUGGAAGAAGGCCUGGAGGCAUUUGUGAAGUGCAAGUUUCACAUAUUUUUAAAUCUAGAAAAAGAUCAGAUGGAAAGAAUUCUAGUCCUCCCCUUUUUUCAAGAAACGGGGACGAAAGAAACAGAGCCGUUUUUCAGUAUUCCAGACAGAAGAGCUUUCAAGAUACACACCUGGAAGGGCCCCGAAUUCCCUGUCACAAGCGACAAAGUAGCUCCGAUUCUAAUUCAGAGUUGUCAAAUGUGGAAUUAAGGCAACGUCUUCAUGAAACUUUAGAGGAGGUAGAAAUUUUGAAAACUGAACUUGAGGCAUCUCAAAGACAACUUGAAGGUAAAGAGGAAGCAUUGAAAAUUCUUCAAAGCAUGGCCAUAUUUGGCAAAGCCACAAGUCAUACCCAGGCAGUGCUUCAAAAAACUAUGGAACAAAAGAGAUCCUUGGAGAAGGAAAUAAAUGCUUUGCAGUGGGAAAUAGAAUUUGAUCAGAAUAGAUUUAAAAAUAUAGAGGAAUCUUGGAUCCAAAAAUAUGACAGGUUAAACUGUGAAAAUGCAGUCCUCAAAGAAACUUUGAAACUAAAAACAGAAGAAAUUAAAAUGCUCAAGUCUGAAAAUGCAAUUUUGAAUCAACAGUAUUUGGAGGUGCUUGCCAUGCUUGAUAUCAAACAGCAGCAGAAGAUGGCUCAGGAAGACACCUGCCAGGAUAGAAGUGGCUUUACAGAGGUUUCAGGUCUUGAGCUUGCAGUGCUGGGAGCCUGCCUUUGUCACCGUCCCAGAGGGAGCCCCUGCGCUUGCGCCAAACUGGCCGCGUCCACUCGGAAAAUGCUCCUGCAGCUCAAACGGGAGCUGGAACUUCUGCAGAAGAGUAAAGAAGAAGCCUACAUAAUGGCAGAUGCAUUCAGAAUUGCAUUUGAGCAACAAUUAAUGAGGAAAAAUGACCAGGCACUAAGAUUGACACAAAUGGAUAAAAUAUGUAAGAAAGCAACAAAAUGGAUAAGUUGGCAGCACCUUGAAGAUGGGUCACUAUCCCAAGGGAGUAAGAAGACCUUAGGGCAGAAAUUGUUGGGUAUGCUCCGUUCAGAAAACAGUUCUAAGAGUACCAAUAACCAGGACGAUCCUCAGGAAAUCUUUAAGAUGCUGAUAGACUUGUUGAAUGAUAAAGAAGAAGCUUUGGCUCAUCAAAGGAAAGUGAGUUACAUGCUUGCUCGGGCUUUGGAAGACAAAGACACCACUUCAAAAGAGAUUAAAGAGAGAAAUUCUAUGAAAGACAGUUUUACAUUAAAAAACCCCUGGCAGAAAAUUUUAGAAUUCCCUGUUUCAUGUGAUCCUGUGCAUUCAAGUGUUCAAAUUUUUAAUUCUGUGGGCUGCAUCUGUUCAAUUCAGCACUUUCAAACAGAUCAAAAGUAUGCAAGAACUCUUAAAAGGUCCUGUUCUUUGCCAUCAAAUAUCAUGUACUGA
rnacentral:lncRNA from 1 species